rnacentral:rRNA from 1 species
UACGGAGGGUGCGAGCGUUGUCCGGAAUCAUUGGGCGUAAAGGGCGCGUAGGUGGCGGCUUAAGCGUGCGGUGAAAGCUCGGGGCUCAACCCCGAGUCGGCCGUGCGAACUGAGUCGCUUGAGCACUGUAGAGGCAAGCGGAAUUCCGGGUGUAGCGGUGGAAUGCGUAGAGAUCCGGAAGAACACCGGUGGCGAAGGCGGCCUGCUGGGCAGUAGCUGACACUGAGGCACGGAAGGCCAAGGGGAGCAAACGGG